ensembl:lncRNA
GUAAAGUCGGGAAUUCCAAAAUUCUCUUCUGAGUAACAGAGGCCGAGGAGAACACAGGGGAGGCAAGAAGCUCCGGGGAAGGGAUGCUAAGGGAAAGCUCGAGCCGAGCUGUCUCCGCUCUGCAGUGUCCAGCACAGCAGGAAGACCUUCAGACCUCCCGUCUGACGACAGCGCCUGACUCCUGUGUCCUGGCCAGCUGCAAACUUCCGGGCAGGCUUGUCCCCAGGUGGGGGACAGAAGGCAGCAAGAAGCAUCCUCAGGGUCUGAUACAGUUGUCGGGGUCCUUGCCCGAAACGCUGAAAGCUCAAACAUGUUUGGAAGCCCACAGCACCAGGCCUAGCCCUGAGCCCACCUCCUCAGACUCCCAGGUGAGCAGAUGGGUCCCAGAGGCGCCGGGCGCUUGCUGUGUGUUCGUGUUUGGCCUGCUUUCCUGUGUUCCUGAGAGACUGGGCCUCUGAGCACCAGCGCAGUGCUGAAGUCCCGGAGUUUCCUUGACUCAGAGAAAGGUCACCCCUGAGCAGCUGUGGACCUGACUGCUGAUCACAAAGCCGCUGCUCUCCAAGGGACUGCGCCGCUGGACCCGAGACCACCCGCUCGCCACUCAGAAGCCAAUGCUCGGGAGAUCAGUGGACAGGAAGGAGAGCGGGCGCCAUGGUCCCCCAGCAAGCCUCGUUAGGGGACCCAGGUAGCAGAAGUGGAAAGAGAGCUCCAGGGCCAAGGGCAGGAGGCCGGGCGGGCGUGUGCUGAGGGCCUCUGGUCAUCGGGGCCUGAGUUUUCCUUUCUCUCCUGCCAGAACGCCCUGGAGACAACAAUCGACUUUCUUCUCUUAGGCCAGUCCCUGUAAUUCUUUAGAAAAGGGGCUAUCUCCUUGAACAGUAAACACUGUUUCACUUUAAAGAACAGGAUUGGCCAGUCCCUGCCCAUGCUUGGGUGUUAUCUGAAGAUGUCAGAUGUCGCAGUCUGUGGGAGGCUGGAGGAUCGCUGAUCAGGGCUGCUUUUCCUGCAGUAGCUGAGCCCAGCAGUUAGUGUCUUAGCCAGACAAAGGUGGUUUUCUUUGGCACUUACAACCCUGGGCAAAGGGAGACACAAAUAUAAUAGGACAAGGGGCAGUUUGCACAGGCGAGCUAACCUAGAGGAGGGUGGGUAAGACACAGUGGUGUUGCCAUUAUUUACACACUGCUGGAUCCCCGGGAAGCCUCCUUCCUCCUGGCCCAGCCCCAGGGCUUGUCCCUGCUGCACCCUAGGAGUCCUGUGCCAGACAGGUGGCUGUGUCUGAUGGAGGCAAACUGGGCCCAACGUGGCACCUGGCACAUUGCGGCCUCGGGCAGAAGACAGGGCUAGAGGAGGCCCAGGUGCGGUGUGGGAGUGAGACUGGAGACCAGGCACAGGAGCAGGGGCCAGAAGCAGGCAGGAAGUGGGCAGGAAGCAGGCAGGAAGUGAAUGGGAAGCAGGCAGGAAGUGGAAGGAAACAGGCAGGAAGUGAAUGGGAAACAGGCAGGAAGUGUGUGGGAAGCAGACAGGAAGUAUGUGGGAAACAGGAAGUGGGCAGGAAGCAGGUGGAAAACCUCUCCCCCAUGGAAAUCAUCUGAGCCCCCUGGUGGGGGAGUUGGGAUGGAGGAAGUCUGGAAUCCACGUGGAAACCUCACUUUAGGGAAGUGUGGUGAAGAGCUCAGUGCUGAGACAGCUGCCCAUGGACGGUGGGCCUGGUUGUUGGUGGGACGGGGGUACAUUUUUGUCUCCCCAACCCCUCCCCAAGGCUGAGACUUUGCUUCAGACCCUUGGUGCUGUGUGUUGAAUGUGUUUCCCAAGGGUUCACUUUUAGAAACCGAG